AGAGAGAUAAGAUCUCUGGCUUCAAUCUGCUCCACUGUAACCUCAGGGAGUAUAAGAUCUGAAAUUUUUCGGUCUGUUCCACUGUAAUCUCAGGGAGAUAAGAUCUCUGGCUUCAAUCUGAUGUGAUCUACUCUACUGUAACUUCAGAGAGAUAAGAUCCUUUAUAUUAAUCCGCUCCACUGUAACUUCAGAGAGAUAGGAUUACUCGCUCAAUCUACUCCGCUGUAAUUUCAGAGAGAUCAAGAUCUCUGGCUUUCAAUCUGCUCCACUGUAACCUCAGGGAGAUAAAUCUGAAAUUUUUCGGUCUACUCCACUGUAAUCUCAGGGAGAUAAGACCUGUAUAAUAAACCUAAUUAUGCCUAAUGAUUAGGAUGACAUGAUCAAAAUGAAACAAAUGCUCCUAACUAGACAUAUGUGAAUGGUGUUUGCAUGAAUGCAGAAUUUUAUUUUUCCGAGAAUGAUCUCGCUUAGGUUGUCAUUACUCGAAGUUUACUAAGGCUUUGUGACUGACGUGCUUCAACGCCUUCUCGCUUGACUGACUUUUCUGAAGAAACAUUUAGCCAGACUGUCCCCAUUGUAAACCUCAAAGUUAUAUCCACUGGGACGCCAAAAUUUGUACCAUCAUUCUCUCACAGUAAUCUAAGGGUAGAAAUAUGUGGCUUUUCCUCUGUCCUCUUUUAUCACAAUUCGGGGAUAUAGGAUCUGAAACCGUUCUGGUUUCCUACACCAUUCUCAAGGUGUCGUA
rnacentral:lncRNA from 1 species